UACAGAGGCCCCAAGCGUUAGGCGGAAUCACUGGGCUUAAAGCGUGUGUAGGCGGGAUGGUAAGUACUUUGUGAAAUCCCACGGCUUAACUGUGGAACUGCUUAGUAUACUGCCGUUCUUGAGUCAUUUAGGGGCAGCCGGAACAGAUGGUGGAGCGGUGAAAUGCAUAGAUAUCAUCCAGAACACCGAUUGCGAAGGCAGGUGGCUACGAUUUAUUUGACACUGAGGCACGAAAGCAUGGGGAGCAAACAGG
rnacentral:rRNA from 1 species